rnacentral:rRNA from 1 species
CGACUAAGCGUACACGGUGGAUGCCCUGGCAGUCAGAGGCGAUGAAGGACGUGCUAAUCUGCGAAAAGCGUCGGUAAGGUGAUAUGAACCGUUAUAACCGGCGAUGUCCGAAUGGGGAAACCCAGUGCAAUUCGUUGCACUAUCGUUAACUGAAUACAUAGGUUAACGAGGCGAACCGGGGGAACUGAAACAUCUAAGUACCCCGAAGAAGAGAUGUCAAAA